rnacentral:tRNA from 1 species
GAUGAUGUACGGUACGGCCAGCCUUCCAAGCUGGUAGCGUGGGUUCGAUUCCCAUCACCCGCUCCA